rnacentral:lncRNA from 1 species
CCAGCGUCUGCCCCGGGGCUGUGGUGCUUGACACGUGUGAAGAGCGUUGGAAUCCUAUCUCCAAAUGCUGUUUUCCUCUAGGAGGAGAGCUGUGGUGUACAGGGUCCUUGAUUAUUCCCAAGCUAGGUACUGAAAGAUCUAAAAGAUCUACUGAGAGAACACUGGGCACCUCAAAAACCAUUAAGUGGUGAGUGUACAGUGACUUCCUGAGACAAGGGGCAUGGCUACUUGAAAUUGGCUGGAUUACAAUGGGAACUGAUGAUUGUGGACUGGAAUUCCUUUGGUAGUUUCUUGAAUCUGCAGGCCUAGGUCCUCCCUGGGCCAGGUUAGCCUUGAGUCCUU